rnacentral:rRNA from 1 species
CACAGAGGUGGCAAGCGUUGUUCGGAAUUACUGGGCGUAAAGAGCGCGCAGGCGGUCGUUCAAGUCGAGUGUGAAAGCCCCCGGCUCAACUGGGGAGGGUCACUCGAUACUGAUCGACUCGAAGGCAGGAGAGGGAAGCGGAAUUCCCGGUGUAGUGGUGAAAUGCGUAGAUAUCGGGAGGAACACCAGUGGCGAAGGCGGCUUUCUGGCCUGUUCUUGACGCUGAGGCGCGAAAGCUAGGGUAGCAAACGGG